rnacentral:rRNA from 1 species
ACCGGGGCUAAUACCGGAUGCUUGUUUGAACCGCAUGGUUCAAACAUAAAAGGUGGCUUCGGCUACCACUUACAGAUGGACCCGCGGCGCAUUAGCUAGUUGGUGAGGUAACGGCUCACCAAGGCAACGAUGCGUAGCCGACCUGAGAGGGUGAUCGGCCACACUGGGACUGAGACACGGCCCAGACUCCUACGGGAGGCAGCAGUAGGGAAUCUUCCGCAAUGGACGAAAGUCUGACGGAGCAACGCCGCGUGAGUGAUGAAGGUUUUCGGAUCGUAAAGCUCUGUUGUUAGGGAAGAACAAGUACCGUUCAAAUAGGGCGGUACCUUGACGGUACCUAACCAGAAAGCCACGGCUAACUACGUGCCAGCAGCCGCGGUAAUACGUAGGUGGCAAGCGUUGUCCGGAAUUAUUGGGCGUAAAGGGCUCGCAGGCGGUUCCUUAAGUCUGAUGUGAAAGCCCCCGGCUCAACCGGGGAGGGUCAUUGGAAACUGGGGAACUUGAGUGCAGAAGAGGAGAGUGGAAUUCCACGUGUAGCGGUGAAAUGCGUAGAGAUGUGGAGGAACACCAGUGGCGAAGGCGACUCUCUGGUCUGUAACUGACGCUGAGGAGCGAAAGCGUGGGGAGCGAACAGGAUUAGAUACCCUGGUAGUCCACGCCGUAAACGAUGAGUGCUAAGUGUUAGGGGGUUUCCGCCCCUUAGUGCUGCAGCUAACGCAUUAAGCACUCCGCCUGGGGAGUACGGUCGCAAGACUGAAACUCAAAGGAAUUGACGGGGGCCCGCACAAGCGGUGGAGCAUGUGGUUUAAUUCGAAGCAACGCGAAGAACCUUACCAGGUCUUGACAUCCUCUGACAAUCCUAGAGAUAGGACGUCCCCUUCGGGGGCAGAGUGACAGGUGGUGCAUGGUUGUCGUCAGCUCGUGUCGUGAGAUGUUGGGUUAAGUCCCGCAACGAGCGCAACCCUUGAUCUUAGUUGCCAGCAUUCAGUUGGGCACUCUAAGGUGACUGCCGGUGACAAACCGGAGGAAGGUGGGGAUGACGUCAAAUCAUCAUGCCCCUUAUGACCUGGGCUACACACGUGCUACAAUGGACAGAACAAAGGGCAGCAAAACCGCGAGGUUAAGCCAAUCCCACAAAUCUGUUCUCAGUUCGGAUCGC